GAUGAACGCUGGCGGUAUGCUUAACACAUGCAAGUCGAACGGAACCUUCGGGUUUAGUGGCGGACGGGUGAGUAACGCGUGAGAAUCUGCCUCUAGGUCGGGGACAACAACUGGAAACGGUUGCUAAUACCCGAUGUGCAGCAAUGUGAAAGAUUUAUUGCCUAGAGAUGAGCUCGCGUCUGAUUAGCUAGUAGGCGUGGUAAUGGCGCACCUAGGCGACGAUCAGUAACUGGUCUGAGAGGAUGACCAGUCACACUGGGACUGAGACACGGCCCAGACUCCUACGGGAGGCAGCAGUGGGGAAUUUUCCGCAAUGGGCGAAAGCCUGACGGAGCAAUACCGCGUGAGGGACGAAGGCUUUUGGGUCGUAAACCUCUUUUCCCUGAGAAGAAGAUCUGACGGUAUCAGGGGAAUCAGCAUCGGCUAACUUCGUGCCAGCAGCCGCGGUAAUACGAGGGAUGCAAGCGUUAUCCGGAAUUAUUGGGCGUAAAGCGUCCGCAGGUGGCUCUGUAAGUCUGUCGUUAAAGAAUGGGGCUCAACCCCAUACAGGCGAUGGAAACUACAAGGCUAGAGUUUGGUAGGGGUCACGGGAAUUCCUAGUGUAGCGGUGAAAUGCGUAGAUAUUAGGAAGAACACCAGCGGCGAAAGCGCGUGACUGGGCCAGUACUGACACUCAUGGACGAAAGCUAGGGGAGCGAAAGGGAUUAGAUACCCCUGUAGUCCUAGCCGUAAACGAUGAUAACUAGGUGUUGCCCG
rnacentral:rRNA from 1 species